AAUAUUGGGACAUAUAAAAAAAGACAACUCUGUUCCGCAGAGUAGCUGUUGACAUUAUAGUUGCGCAGGCACUUUUUUGACUUUAGAGAACCUCGGGCCAAUCGCACAUCCCCGAGCCGGUGAUUUUGCAUACGGAUGUCAUCCAUAGCAACUCUCGAUGCCAGGUUCUGUGCCUACCAUGGUGACCACGGGUAACGGGGAAUCAGGGUUCCAUUCCAUACAGGGACCCUGAGAAAUGGCUACCACAUGCAAGGAAGGCAGCAGGCGCGCAAAUGACCCACUCCCGACGCAGGAAGGUAGUGA